CUUGUUACGACUUCUCCUUCCUCUAAAUGAUAAGGUUCAGUGGACUUCUCGCGACGUCGCGAGCAGCGAACCGCCCACGUCGCCUCGAUAGAUGGGAAGA